rnacentral:tRNA from 1 species
GCGCCAGUAGCUCAGCUGGAUAGAGUACUCGGCUACGAACCGAGCGGUCGGAGGUUCGAAUCCUUCCUGGCGCGCCAUACGGAAGAAUAAAGCUCACUCUGGUGGGCUUUUUUCUUGCCUGGCUUA